rnacentral:rRNA from 1 species
AUACGAGGGGUGCAAGCGUUAAUCGGAAUUACUGGGCGUAAAGCGUUCGUAGGCGGUUUGUUAAGCAAGAUGUGAAAGUCCAGGGCUCAACCUUGGAACUGCAUUUUGAACUGGCAGACUAGAGUAUUGUAGAGGGUGGUGGAAUUUCCAGUGUAGCGGUGAAAUGCGUAGAGAUUGGAAGGAACAUCAGUGGCGAAGGCGGCCACCUGGACAAAUACUGACGCUGAGGAACGAAAGCGUGGGGAGCGAACAGGAUUAGAUACCCGGGUAGUCC